UACGUAGGUGGCAAGCGUUGUCCGGAUUUACUGGGCGUAAAGAGCGCGCAGGCGGUUGAUUAAGUCGAAUGUGAAAGCCCCCGGCUCAACUGGGGAGGGUCAUUCGAUACUGAUCGACUUGAAGGCAGGAGAGGGAAGUGGAAUUCCGGGUGUAGUGGUGAAAUGCGUAGAUAUCCGGAGGAACACCAGUUGCGAAGGCGGCUGACUGGACACAUAUUGACGCUGAGGCUCGAAAGCAUGGGGAGCAAACAGGG
rnacentral:rRNA from 1 species